rnacentral:rRNA from 1 species
GACGAACGCUGGCGGCGCGCCUAACACAUGCAAGUCGAACGGAAAGGGCUGCUUUUCCUUGUGGAUUGCGGGUACUCGAGUGGCGAACGGGUGAGUAACACGUGAGUGAUCUGCCCCCAAAUUGGGUAUAAGCCCGGGAAAUCGGGUCUAAUUCCCGAUAGGACUGCAGGGUGGUGCCUGUGGUGGGAAACGAUUUUCUAGUGGUUGGGGAUGAGCUCGCGGCCUAUCAGCUUGUUGGUGGGGUAAUGGCCUACCAAGGCGGCGACGGGUAGCCCGCCUGGGAGGGUGGACGGCCACAUUGGGACUGAGAUACGGCCCAGACUCCUACGGGAGGCAGCAGUGGGGAAUAUUGCACAAUGGGCGGAAGCCUGAUGCAGCGACGCCGCGUGGGGGAUGACGGCCUUCGGGUUGUAAACUCCUUUCGACCGCGAGGAAGCCACCUGGUUGGAAGGGUGGUGACGGUAGUGGUAGAAGAAGCACCGGCUAACUACGUG